rnacentral:rRNA from 1 species
GAUGAACGCUGGCGGCGUGCCUAAUACAUGCAAGUCGAGCGAACAGAUGAGGAGCUUGCUCCUCUGACGUUAGCGGCGGACGGGUGAGUAACACGUGGAUAACCUACCUAUAAGACUGGGAUAACUACGGGAAACCGGAGCUAAUACCGGAUAAUAUAUUGAACCGCAUGGUUCAAUAGUGAAAGACGGUUUUGCUGUCACUUAUAGAUGGAUCCGCGCCGCAUUAGCUAGUUGGUAAGGUAACGGCUUACCAAGGCAACGAUGCGUAGCCGACCUGAGAGGGUGAUCGGCCACACUGGAACUGAGACACGGUCCAGACUCCUACGGGAGGCAGCAGUGGGGAAUCUUCCGCAAUGGGCGAAAGCCUGACGCAGCAACGCCGCGUGAGUGAUGAAGGUCUUCGGAUCGUAAAGCUCUUUUAUUGGGAAAGAACAAAUGUGUAAUUAUCUCUGCACGUCUUGACGGUACCUAAUCAGAAAGCCACGGCUAAAUUCGUG